rnacentral:rRNA from 1 species
CCAGACUCCUACGGGAGGCAGCAGUGGGGAAUAUUGCACAGUGGGGGAAACCCUGAUGCAGCGACGCCGCGUGAGUGAGGAAGUAUUUCGGUAUGUAAAGCUCUAUCAGCAGGGAAGAAAAUGACGGUACCUGACUAAGAAGCCCCGGCUAACUACGUGCCAGCAGCCGCGGUAAUACGUAGGGGGCAAGCGUUAUCCGGAUUUACUGGGUGUAAAGGGAGCGUAGACGGACUUGCAAGUCUGAUGUGAAAAUCCGGGGCCCAACCCCGGAACUGCAUUGGAAACUGUGCUGCUGGAGUGCAGGAGAGGCAAGUGGAAUUCCUAGUGUAGCGGUGAAAUGCGUAGAUAUUAGGAGGAACACCAGUGGCGAAGGCGGCUUGCUGGACUGUAACUGACGUUGAGGCUCGAAAGCGUGGGGAGCAAACAGGAUUAGAUACCCGGGUA